CAGCCGCCGCGGUAAUACCGGCGGCCCGAGUGGCGGUCACUAUUAUUGGGCUUAAAGCGUCCGUAGCCGGGUUGUGAAGUCCUCCGGGAAAUCUGGCCGCUUAACGGUCAGAAUGCCGGAGGAUACUCCCAGCCUAGGGAGCGGGAGAGGCCGAGGGGAUUCCCGGGGUAGGGGGGAAAUCCUAUAAUCCCGGGCGGACCACCUGUGGCGAAGGCGCUCGGCUGGAACGCGUCCGACGGUGAGGGACGAAGGCCAGGGGAGCAAACCGGAUUAGAUACCCGGGUAGUCCUGGCUGUAAACGAUGCGGACUAGGUGUCGGGCAAGCUAAGGGCUUGUCCGGUGCCGCAGGGAAGCCGUUAAGUCCGCCGCCUGGGGAGUACGGCCGCAAGGCUGAAACUUAAAGGAAUUGGCGGG
rnacentral:rRNA from 1 species